AAUGGGGGAAACCCUGAACCAGCAACGCCGCGUGAAGGAAGAAGGCCUUCGGGUUGUAAACUUCUUUGACGAGGGAAGAACAAAAUGACGGUACCUCGAAAACAAGCCACGGCUAACUACGUGCCAGCAGCCGCGGUAAUACGUAGGUGGCAAGCGUUGUCCGGAAUUACUGGGUGUAAAGGGCGUGUAGGCGGGUCUGUAAGUCAGGUGUGAAAUUCAAGGGCUUAACCCUUGAACUGCAUUUGAGACUGCGGAUCUUGAGUGAUGGAGAGGUAAGUGGAAUUCCUAGUGUAGCGGUGAAAUGCGUAGAUAUUAGGAGGAACACCAGUGGCGAAGGCGACUUACUGGACAUUAACUGACGCUGAGGCGCGAAAGCGUGGGGAGCAAA
rnacentral:rRNA from 1 species